GGAGAAUUAAAUCUUCGGAUUUAAUUUAGAUAUUAGAUGAGCAAACGAAUUAAAUCUACAGAUUUAAUUUAGAAUUAUUUUUACAGUCUUUCGAUAUUAAUAUUGAGCAGAUACACCAUCACACGUUACAUAUUACAGUUAUAAAAAUUCUUUCCUAUACUCCUAUUACACACCGGCUGCAUCAUCAAAGGAGAAUGAGUAAAAGAAAGAAGAAAAGAAAUAGGAGAAAGAAAGGAAAUAGGGAGGAAAUAGGAGAAGAAAGAAAAGAGAGAGCAGGCGUGUGGCUGAAACAGCCCAGCUGCCAGCCGCCCAACUCCACCAAUUUCCUUCUCCCUACACCCUACCACCUAUUCCUUAGCAUGCUCCAGCAGCCCCAACUCCUCCAAUCACCUUCACUCUACCUUACACCUAUUCUUGCUAGCAUACUCAAGUAUGCACCAAUGAACUCUUAGUAUCAACCCCAGCCAACAAACAACUCUCACUCUCACUUUAUUUCACCGAAAAAAAUAUCGAAGAGCAGCCCCAAUUCAUUCUGCCAAGAUCUCAAGGUAAGGCUUGGCUUCAAUGUUUUCAUUUCCUUUAAGUAGUUCACCUGCAUUAACACAAGAACCAUAGUUCAUUCAGUUAUUGCUCUAUUAAAACCAUUCAACUACAGCGAACAAAUCAUCAAUCAAACCAAACAACUGCAAGCUAUUACACAUUUCAUUCAACUCCAACAGCCACCAAUCAGUUCGAACACAUUCAAGGUAUUAUACUAUCUCGAAUUUCAAUCCAAUCAAGCAUUCAUGUCAACAUGUUCAAGCUAUGGCAUUACAACUAUGUUAUGAUUCACUCAUUGUUACUUUAAGCUCUAGAACGACACACCAUGAGUACUCUGCCCUUAACAACUAGAAACUAGGAUAUAAGGAAGUAGGACUUAGCUUUAGGGAAAAAGGGCGCAGCCUGUUCGGUCGAGCCAAGAAGCGAUGAUCGGGCGACGGCUCAUGGGGAUCCUAGCGCCAACCGCGAAUCCCGGCGAUGUGCAGAGGCACGCCGGACUCGUGCGCAGCAGCGGCGGUUCCAAGGACAGCAGCGUCGACGACAUCGAGCGGUGAAAGGCAGACGACUCCCGAUCACAGCGAUGGCCCCGCGCCCAUUCUAGAGUAACAGCAGCGGCGGCGUACCCAUCGCCCGAAUCCAGCAGCAGUGCGGCCGCUCGAACCGCCGACCCGGAGAAAGCAGCAACGACAGACGCUUGUCUACUCACCGGAGGGAUGAAAAGGCGACAAGGUUGCCGGAUUCUGGAAGAGGAAGAGGGAGUGUGGCCGGUUCUUUUUGGGGGAAGGAUAGGGCUCAAUUCUUGAGCGGCCUCCCCUGAAGCUGAGAGACAGCAGCAGCGGCUCGGUGCACGGCGGCGGUGGCGAUUUCAGGCGGAGAAACGCCGGCUUGAGACAACAACGUCGUCGGAGGAAUGCACGGACAGCGGCGCCGCUCGCCGGUUCCACGGCGGCGGCAGCGGAUCGAAACACAGGCGAGAGAAGGAAAUUAGGGCUCGUUUCCCUUUUUCCUCAAGCUUGAAUUCAGGAAAUUGAGAGCGAAGGAAGGCAGAGAUGGAGUUUAGGGAGGAGAAUCGAUCGUCGUUCACCGGAAUUUCAGGAACGGCGCGGCGAUUUCUGUUUUUGGGAGGGGCUAGGGUUCGAUUAUCACAGGAAAGGGGUAAAGAUUAAGGAACGAAUUGUUGAGCUGCUGGGUUGAAUCAGAUGAGAGAUCGACCUUGGAAGGAGAAGGAGGCGCUCGCCGGUCUUCCACAGACGGCAGCGGCGGCGGCACUCGCCUCGGCUGAGGCCGGAUCGAGAGGGAGAGAUAGGGAGAGGACCGAAGGGAGUAUCUGUUUGAGAGAGAGAGAGACGAGUUGUGGGUGAAUAAGAAGGAUUUGGGCCAUUUCCUUGGGCCUCUUCAUUUUAUUUUAUUCUGGACCCAAAUUCAAUUAUUUUUCUUCUUUUGGGCUGAAAGUUGGGCUUUUGUUUUAUUUUUAUUUUACUUCUUUUCAAUUGGGCUAAGUUUAAUUAUCUAACUUGGGCCCAGAGUUAAUUAUUUCAGUUGGGCUGCUAAUAUUGUAUUUGGGCCCUGAUUCAUUUAAUUAUUUGAGUCCAAUAAUCUCAUUUCAAUUGGGCCUUGUAUUUUAAUUAUUCAACCCGAAUUUAAUUAUUUUACUUGGGUUCCAGAUUUAUAUAUAUGAAUUGUAAUUAUUUAUUUUAAUUCAAGCCCACUCUUAAUUAAUUAUUAGGCUGUAUCAUGUUGAGCCUUUUAAUUAUUUGACUUAUAUUAUUACUUCAAUUCAUAUUUGUUUAGCCGAGUUAAUUAGACGCAGCUGCCCAAUUACGAUUAAUUCUUACGAGAUUACUAAGCGAAUGAGCCGACUUAGCUAUUUUCUUUUAAUCGAUUAAAUAGAGCGAGAUCUUUUAAUACCAUGUAAGUUAGAACACCCUCAGACGAACGGGUUAGUCAUAGUUAUUUAUCCGAUCGUACGAGACGAGCUUCAGUUAGUUAUCUUGCUUAAUCAAUCCGAUAGUUGGGAUUAAUAAUAGAAUUAUCAAGAAUAAUAAAUCAUGCAUAAGAGAUGUCAUGCAUAUUUAAUUUCGUAUUCUCAUUAUUUGAGAAUUCUGCUCGAGCAAAUAUCUUAUUUAAAUUCUCGCAAUAAAGGUCAAGCACGAGAGUAAUACCUAGACGAGAGCUACUGCACCACAACUAGAGAUAUAAUCAGGUGGGCUUACUUUCCAAAUGUAUGCUUGAGUUAUUAAGCUCUAAAUAUUUCAUGAAAUGAAAACUGUUUAUCCAAUAAAUAUUUUGUGCGCUCUGUUAUGUUUAAGGCUCGCAAUUCAUGGAUCGAUCGAGGUUCUCUUAUGACCUAACAUGUUGUUUGAGAAUUGUGUACACUUGUUAGUUGUUUCGGUGGGUUGAUCUCCAUCGGGCACUAAUUCAUGCAAGAGGCGUUACAAGGGUGCUCGGCUGGAUGUGUUCCGGAGCAUGUAUCAUGUAAAGCCUACCUGGGUAGCGUCCCGAGGUCAAUUCAACUUGUCUGAGUUACGUCCUCAGGGCAAGUAUCAUGGGAAUGAGGGAUCCGUCGGUGGCUAAAAGGUCCGGGAUCACAGCGAGUAACAAAACAGAGUGUGACAACAGCGCGCUAAUAAAAUGAAAUGCUUUAACAUGCUUAGAAGUUCCUUUACUUUAAAACCUUCUAAGUUAUGUCAUGAAUGAUUGGAUAAACUGCUCUUACGAAUUGUGAAAUAUUUUAAAAGCUGCAGCCUACUAAGUACAUUAGUACUUAGCCUAAAUUAUUUUCAAAUGUUUUUCAGGUUGAUGGCUGGUGUUGACGGGGAGAGCUGAGGCUAGGGUUCAACUCCGUGUUUUGACUUCCGCUGU
rnacentral:lncRNA from 1 species